rnacentral:rRNA from 1 species
GAUGAACGCUGGCGGCGUGCUUAACACAUGCAAGUCGAACGGUGAACACGGAGCUUGCUCUGUGGGAUCAGUGGCGAACGGGUGAGUAACACGUGAGCAACCUGCCCCUGACUCUGGGAUAAGCGCUGGAAACGGCGUCUAAUACUGGAUACGAACCGCGAAGGCAUCUUCAGUGGUUGGAAAGAAUUUCGGUUGGGGAUGGGCUCGCGGCCUAUCAGCUUGUUGGUGAGGUAAUGGCUCACCAAGGCGUCGACGGGUAGCCGGCCUGAGAGGGUGACCGGCCACACUGGGACUGAGACACGGCCCAGACUCCUACGGGAGGCAGCAGUGGGGAAUAUUGCACAAUGGGCGAAAGCCUGAUGCAGCAACGCCGCGUGAGGGAUGACGGCCUUCGGGUUGUAAACCUCUUUUAGCAGGGAAGAAGCGAAAGUGACGGUACCUGCAGAAAAAGCGCCGGCUAACUACGUGCCAGCCGCCGCAGUAACAC